AACGAACGCUGGCGGCAGGCCUAACACAUGCAAGUCGAGCGGGGGAGCAAUCCCUAGCGGCGGACGGGUUAGUAACGCGUGGGAACAUACCCUUUGGUACGGAAUAGCCUCGGGAAACUGAGAGUAAUACCGUAUGUGCCCUUCGGGGGAAAGAUUUAUCGCCAAGGAUUGGCCCGCGUUGGAUUAGGUAGUUGGUGGGGUAAUGGCCUACCAAGCCUACGAUCCAUAGCUGGUUUGAGAGGAUGAUCAGCAACACUGGGACUGAGACACGGCCCAGACUCCUACGGGAGGCAGCAGUGGGGAAUCUUAGACAAUGGGCGCAAGCCUGAUCUAGCCAUGCCGCGUGAGCGAUGAAGGCCUUAGGGUUGUAAAGCUCUUUCAGAUGGGAAGAUAAUAGACGGUACCAUACAGAAGAAGCCCGGCUAACUCCGUGCCAGCAGCGCGGUAAUGUGACUACUG
rnacentral:rRNA from 1 species